GGACAUUGUGACACUUGAGGCAAUGAGAGACAUGGAGGCACUGGGAGACAUGGGGACAGUGAGAGACUGAGAGACUAGGGGGCACUGAGACACCAGGGACACUGGCUGGGAGACAUGGGGACAUUGUGUCCCCAUGUGUCUGUGUCAUAAUAUCUCCCAAUGUCCCUUAGUGUCUCAGUGUCUGCCAUAAUGUCUCCCAAUGUCCUUUAGUGUCUCAGUGUCUGCCAUAAUGUCUCCCAGUAUCCCUUAGUGUCUCAGUGUCUGCCAUAAUGUCUCCCAAUGUCCCUUAGUGUCUCAGUGUCUGCC